AAUGGCGGCAAACGCUUUCUCGCUCUAACAUAUAUUCGACUCUUUUGUUUGUUUUGGUUUGAGUGUCAUGUGACAUGUCAUUCAUUCAAAAUAAAAGUGACUGUUAACAAUUUUUGUUACGAAUUUUCGUUUUCUUUUACUUUAUUCGUGUAUUAUUCAGGGUAAUGUGCUUAAUUAUUUAUAUAAUAAAUGCGUAAGACUUUCUAAGCUAUAUCAUGUAAUAAUAAAUGUGUAAAAUAUGUGGUUUAAAAUCUGGCUGGUCAGAUGGGAGUAAGAGAAUUUUCAUGGCUAAAUUAUUUUUGGAUAUAGAAAGAUUCAGGACCCACGCCUACGACUUUAUUGCAACAUCUGAAAAACGAAUACCAAAAACUGUAAACCGAAACCACAACGCAAAACAAAACUAUUUAUAAAAUAUUAAUUAUGUCAA